UAUUUCUUAUAAUACAAGAAUCGUGGUACAGGCCAGAUGCUUGAGAGGGUGAGAGGAUUCACCAGAGACAGAGUGGGGAACAGAACAGGCAGACUGACUGAAAUACACAGCUGGGAGGAGCAUCAGGGAGGCAGGAGAGGUCUGCUGUGAACAUGGGUAUCUCUCUGUCCGGGGAUCCAACCUGUGCUGCAGUGGCCGAGGAGAGUCCCAUGGCCUGCAUCCCAACCCCUUGCCCCACCAGGGAGGCGCCAUAAAAUGAUUUUUAAAAAUAUUUAUUUAUUUAUGCAUACAAAAGCUGGGGUACAGGCCAGAGAUGCAGGGUGUGAGAGGAUCCACCAGAGAGUGGGAAACAGAACAGCAGACUGACUGAAAUACGCUGCUGAGGGGAGCAGCGGGAGAGACAGGAGAGGUCUGCUGUGCCAUGUGAGUCAGUUCCCCGGCCAGGGAUCAAACUUAUCCUUCAAUGGUUGUCAUAGCUUCAUAGUGCUGUACUGAACCCCUUGUGCCACCAUGGGGCUCCUCACAACUCUCUUUUCACCUUGUGUCCUACGUAGAGUUCUGCUGGUGGCCAUGUAGUAACUGUAUAUUUUGAUUUCAGGAACCCUUGACCUGCAGAGAUGUGCCCAUCGAAUUCUCACACAAGGAGCAGGAGGUCCUGGACCAGCUGCAGUGGAAAUUGUACAGGGACGUGAUGCUAGAGGCCUACAGAAAUGUGGUGUCCUUGGGUCUUGCUGUGUCUACGCCCGAGCUGGUCAUCUUGUUGGAGCAAAAAAAUGGAGCCCUGGGAUGUGAAGAGAAGUGUAGAUUCCGUCCUCCUCCCAGACCACCAGGUCUCCGUGCCACAGUCAGGUACAGAAGAUUUGUUGCUAACUGUGGGACCGGGAAGAGAUGUAAUCGGCACCUUUGAGAAUUUAGAAUUAUUGAAAGACCAGACAUGUCAAGAUACAUGUGAAGGGCACAACAGUUGUUGCAAUGAAGAUUCCCAAUAAGGGACAAUUAUCCAUAACACACUUCCUCCUGUACAAAGUGAUCCUGCGUGUAAACCAUGUUGGGUCAAACUCCAUUUUAUGUCUGUUGCAGGUAGAGAUAAAUAUGUUUCUGUUAGCAAAGAUCCAUGUGACAUUUUUAAUAAGACACAAUCUCUGAGAAGAAUGUGGGAACAUAUGGGAAGUCCCCUAGUCCAUAAUGCAAAUGAUUAUUCAAAACAUUGUCAAUGUGGGAUAGAUUUAAACUUUCAGUCAUGUCAUUGUCAACAUCAGAGAAUUAGAAAGGAAGAUGAAAAAAAUCUACACAGGAUCCUAUUGAGGAGCCCUCAAUACUUUUCUAGCAUCAUGUACUUCAUGAGAAACUCUACAAUUGUAAAGGAUAUGGCAAAGCUACUAAAUGGUGCCCAAGACUUACUGAACAUCAGAGAGGGAAACCUCAGAAGUAUGAAGAGCAUGGUAAAGCCUUGUAUUGGCAUCCACAGCUGACUAACCAUCUAAGGAUUCAUGCUGGAGAAAAGCCUACAGGCAUCCUGACUGUAGUAACACCUUCCUGUGCUGUGUCACCUUUCCUGAUUGGAGAGUUCAUACUGGGGAGAAACCUUACAGAUGUGAGGAAUGUGGAAAAGUCUUUAACCAACUGUCAGCCUUUAACGAUCUUAGUCAGCAUCACAGAAUUCAUACUGAGGAGAAACCUUACAAUUGUGAAGAUUGUGGCAAAGCCUUUAACAAUAAGUCAUGUCUUACUCGGCAUCAUAGAAUUCAUACUGGGGAGAAACCUUGGAGAUGUGAAGAAUAUAGGCAAAGCCUUCUACCAACCAUCACUUUUAAGUCAACAUCACAGAAUUCAUACUGUCUCUAAAACUUUGCUGAGGUUCCACAAAAUUUCCUUUAAUUGAUUAAAUGACAGGCUACCAAAUUUUACUUUAAUUAAAUGUUUGGGAAGCUGUGUCAUAAAUACUAGAAAACAGCAAAAACAACCAUAUUUAAUCUCUAUAAAAAUUCUAGCCCUAAGUGAUAAUAUUGACAAUUAAAUCAUAACCUUUAAUUGUCAUCUCAAAAACCUUAGUUCUUCAGACACUAAAAGACAUUAUGUACCCAACAUUAUUAACCUAGACAAGGGCCAAGAUUAUACCCAAUGCUAGUGUAUAAGUACAUGUUUUGAAACAACCCAUUAGAUUAUAACUCAGUUACUAUUAACCAAACAUUAUUUCAGCUAAUAUGUUCCCAAAACACUAAAAUAAUAUAAAUCAUUUGAGUAUACAAAAUUUGUUUUCCUAAAAUUCCUUUUUCAGAUGUUCAACACUUUACUUAGCUUUGUUACUUUUAAUUCUUUUAGACCUUUUAAUAUUUGUUUGAACACUUAUCACUUUAUUUUUAAGACCAUUAAAAUAUCUAUUUUUAAUAUAUAUAUAUAUAUAUAUUUUUUUUUUCCUAACAGAACUAACCUUUUGUGUGACUUUGAGUACAAUUCUUCCAGGGAGUUGACAUAGAGCUAAACUAAAAUGUGGAAAAACUGCUGCUUUGUUCGUAGGGUUCCAGAGACCUCUGAAAAUGAUGAGGAAGCUUGCCUCCAUUGGCAGGACUAAAUAACCCGGUUCCCUGAAUAGAAAGCUCUGUCAUAAAGCCUGAACUCUUUUGUCUUUUCGCUGCCAUUAAUGAUGUACACUUCAAACAACCUGGACAGGACACCGAUAAGAUCCCAGUGCGUGCCUACGUUGGAUACCCCUUUGUUAUACUUCUGGGGAAUGCCUCAGCUGCACGCAUUCAAUUGCGUGGGACUUCUUACUCCAUUCAUUGUUCUGGCUGCAUUGUUACUAAUUGUAUUAUCCCCUCUCUUGCUCGUUUGUAUCCUGUUGUAAUCUUACUUAAAAUACCCCCUAUGUUAUGUUACCUGUUGAUUUACAUGAUAUGCCUUGGUAUAAUAAUACUGCCAUGCAAGUUUUAAAUGAAGUACAUGCUCUUCUUCGUCCUAAACGUUUUAUUGCCACCCUUAUUCUAGAAAUUGCUGCUCUAAUUUCCCUGGUUACCUCCUUAGCUACUUCCCCUGUUGCUUUCAUUCAGGAAGCUAAGACAGCUUCUUUUGUAAAUGACCUUACCAAAAAUGAGACCAUGGCACUCUCUGUGCAGUGGGACAUUGACUACAAGUUAGAAAGAAAGAUAAAUGCCCUGGAAGAAAUUGUCAUUGCCAUUGGAGAUGAAGUUCAGCUGCUUAAGCAGCAAUUAUCCACUCACUGCCACGUUCAGUUUCGUUUCAUUUGUGUUACACCUUUGCGUUAUAACUCCUCUCUACAUUGGAAUCUUACUAAACAUCACCUAUUUGGCAUCUGGCAUGACAAUGACCUCUCUCAUGACCUUACAUCUCUUCAGUCUAAAAUCUCUGCUGUCAGUAAAUCUCACCUAGAUACUUCAGUCUCUUCCUUUGCCCAUUCUCUGGCUUCCACUCUCCAAUCUUUAACUCCUACUCACUGGUAUCAUCUUGUUCUCUCCUUCCUUGUUCUUUCCCUACUUGUCCUGCUUCUCUGUUUGUUUGUUCCCUUCUGUGUCCGCUCACUUCACUUCACAUGCAUCCAGUGUGACAUGUAUGCUUACCAACUUCGUUCUAAAAACAAAGGGGGACCUGCUGCACCCCCCCCUGCAGUGACCUUCAGGGCUAAUGGCUGUUGCCAUGGUCCCUGAGGUCCGGCGUGGGCAAGGAACCAUGCGCGCAGGGGGAGAACAGCAAACUCCCUAAGAUGCAGAGAAGCCGAAUGCCUGCCAAGAGAUAACGACCACCAGAAGCCGCCACAAAGAUGGUUAAAAGAAAUGCUGACCACCUGGAACCUUAUCUCGCUUUCUCAAGGCCCACAAACUUUAUUCUGCUACAACUGUCUUUCUAAAAUCUUUCCUUUUUCUGGUCAUUGAUUGCUAAUUAAAAAACAUACGUAAUUUAAUAAUUAGGCUAAUGCAAAUGAAACAUUACUAAACACUGUGUUAUAAUAGAAUUGUUGGUUUAAUAAUCUUUCUAUUAUGUGCUUAACCUUAGUACCUUUGAUAUUAACUGCAUUAUAAUAUAAAUUUACCUAUGACAAUUAAUUAUGAGUAAACAUAAGUAAGUAAUAGUAGUAGUAAUUAGUACAAAAAUAUAGAGUUAAUAACCUGUCCAAUUAGGAAUAAGGCUAGGUCCAGGUGUAACUUCGGACAUAAGUCACUGCCCUGUCAAUUAAGCUAAGCCUAUGAGCAAACUGAUCUCUUUGAUGUUCACUGUUCCUAUGCCUUUAGAAAAAACAUAUAUAUACUGACCACUAACUUAAUAAAAGCGCACUCAGAUUUAUACUCUCUCUUGAAGUGUGUCUGUUUGUCAU